rnacentral:rRNA from 1 species
ACGAACGCUGGCGGCGUGCCUAAUACAUGCCAGUCGAACGCUUCUUUCCUCCCGAGUGCUUGCACUCACUUGGAAAGAGGCGUGGCGGACGGGUGAGUAACACGUGGGUAACCUACCCAUCAGAGGGGGAUAACACUUGGAAACAGGUGCUAAUACCGCAUAACAGUUUAUGCCGCAUGGCAUAAGAGUGAAAGGCGCUUUCGGGUGUCGCUGAUGGAUGGACCCGCGGUGCAUUAGCUAGUUGGUGAGGUAACGGCUCACCAAGGCCACGAUGCAUAGCCGACCUGAGAGGGUGAUCGGCCACACGGGGACUGAGAAACGGCCCAGACUCCUACGGGAGGCAGCAGUAGGGAAUCUUCGGCAAUGGACGAAAGUCUGACCGAGCAACGCCGCGUGAGUGAAGAAGGUGUUCGGAUCGUAAAACUCUGUUGUUAGAGAAGAACAAGGACGUUAGUAACUGAACGUCCCCUGACGGUAUCUAAACAGAAAGCCACGGCUAACUACGUG